UUUGUCCCGCUACAGCUGCUCUCUGGAAAUUGUCCUCAACGUGACGAUGUCUCCUGCAUCUCAGUCCUCAAAUAUUGUCGCGUUGUGUGUGUCUCCCCUGCUCGCCAUGGGACCAGACCCGCCACAGUCCAGGUGGCGUGUAGCCCACGGCGUUGGAGGAAGAGACCGUCCAACUUGAACUUGACAUUUACUGGUUGGCUGCCUGGAUAAAGUUCUGUUCGUACCGGAGUGUCAAUGGAAAUUGCAACGCAGCAGUGUUUCCCAAGAUGAGAUGUGUAUUGGCUGACAGAGACAUGGUGUUGUGCGAUUACCGUUGUCUGUUUUUCUCACCCUUCAGCUGGAAGGAAAAACUUAACUGUCAAAAGCCGGAAUAUCAACAGGGUCACAACGACCUUUUGGCCGCAGCCCUUGGUCGUAAAUAAAGCUCUAUUAUGUGAAGUAUUAAUAA